CCUAUGGAUAUUAAGCUUGAUCAACUGGUUCUUGUGAUGAUGGAUGUGCUUUUGUUGGAGAAUCAACUUCCUUAUGAAGUACUCAAGCUAUUGUGGAAAGAUAACAAUGAGAAUGAAUUGAUAAAAUGCAUGACGAGUUUUCCCAACUAUCUUGAGAUCUUACCAGAUGAGGAUGAGUCACAGUCAGAGAAGGAGAAGGAAGGAGAAGGAGAACAUAGUGUAUUAAUACCAGACGAGUUGCAAUCAGAGAUGGAGGAGGAAGGAGAAGGAGAACAUAGUGUAUCAAUACCAGACGAGUUGCAAUCAGAGAUGGAGGAGGAAGGAGAAGGAGAACAUAGUGUAUCAAUACCAGACGAGUUGCAAUCAGAGAUGGAGGAGGAAGGAGAAGGAGAACAUAGUGUAUCAAUACCAGACGAGUUGCAAUCAGAGAUGGAGGAGGAAGGAGAAGGAGAACAUAGUGUAUCAAUACCAGACGAGUUGCAAUCAGAGAUGGAGGAGGAAGGAGAAGGAGAACAUAGUGUAUCAAUACCAGACGAGUUGCAAUCAGAGAUGGAGGAGGAAGGAGAAGGAGAACAUAGUGUAUCAAUACCAGACGAGUUGCAAUCAGAGAUGGAGGAGGAAGGAGAAGGAGAACAUAGUGUAUCAAUACCAGACGAGUUGCAAUCAGAGAUGGAGGAGGAAGGAGAAGGAGAACAUAGUGUAUCAAUACCAGACGAGUUGCAAUCAGAGAUGGAGGAGGAAGGAGAAGGAGAACAUAGUGUAUCAAUACCAGACGAGUUGCAAUCAGAGAUGGAGGAGGAAGGAGAAGGAGAACAUAGUGUAUCAAUACCAGACGAGUUGCAAUCAGAGAUGGAGGAGGAAGGAGAAGGAGAACAUAGUGUAUCAAUACCAGACGAGUUGCAAUCAGAGAUGGAGGAGGAAGGAGAAGGAGAACAUAGUGUAUUAAUACCAGACGAGUUGCAAUCAGAGAUGGAGGAGGAAGGAGAAGGAGAACAUAGUGUAUCAAUACCAGACGAGUUGCAAUCAGAGAUCGAGGAGGAAGGAGAAGGAGAACAUAGUGCAUCAAUACCAGUACCAAAUGAGUCACAGUUAGAGAAACCAACUCAUCUUCUUGAUCUUCAACGCAAAGUCAUCCUCACUACAUCUAAUUCCAAGGUACAAUAGAAUUAACAAUAAAAAGUACUAAAAUAAAUUGAAAUAACAAAAGAAAUUAGAGACAAAAAAAAUAUUUGGUUACAAAAUUAAGGACAGAAUUAGAAACGGAGUAAUUUGUCUUUUUUGGUUUCUAAAUAAUCUUUCCUUUGCAAAAUGUGAUAUUUAUUAUAGUACAAUACAAGCAAUUAAGUAUAAUUUUGAAAUUUUGUUAUUAUCAUAAGUUAGAUGAUACAAUCCAUUGGAAAUAAAAGCAAUGAAGCUGCCGACAUGAAAUGGAGUCAGAAGCUUCUUCAAAAAAUAAAGAUAUGGAGUCGGAAGCUUCUUCAAAAAAUAACGAAUUGGAAAUGGAAGCUUUAUUAUAAAAUAAUGAAAUGGAUUGGGAAGAAAUCAAAGCGAUAUGUCGUACCGUUCACAUACAGGAACAUACAAGAUCUAAAAGCUGUAGGAAUAAGACUUAAGACAAGCAUGACACAAAGGCCAAGAGACAUAGAUUUCUGCGGAGGAUGGUUCGCUGCAGAACUGACUCUUCCUAUGAUCAUUGUGACCAACGGUUCAGCCCAUAUGUUCCUCAACCUGAUAGCAUAUGAGAUGUGUCCAGAUUUUGAGAACGAUUACGAAAUUUGUUCUUUUCUAGCUUUCAUGGACUCGCUCAUCGACCAUCCUGAAGACGUGAAGGAAUUGAGAUCAAAUGGGAUUUUGCUCAAUAAACUUGGGAGUGAUGAGGAAGUUGCCCAUCUUUUCAAUAUCAUAAGUACUGACUUGGUACGAAACACAUACAUAUACCAUGACGUUAAAUGGAAAAUAAAUGAUCAUUACUGUAAUAAAUACAAGACUUGGAUAGCGCAGGGUUUUCACACUUACUUCAACAGUCCUUGGGCCAUUAUUGCAUUCAUUGCUGCGGUUGUCGUCCUUGUUCUUACUUUCAUUCAGACAUGGUUUACAAUUCACCCGACUAGCAAAUAAAAGUGAUUCGUUAUGACAAUGUUGUUUUCAUUAUGGCACUCAACACUUCUCUGUGGAUUGUGUUGAAUUUUUUUAAUGAAAUUUUUUUAGGUUAAGUUUGCGUGUACGUUUUAGCUAUGAGUAUUUCAAAAAGAAAGAGUGCCUUUAUAUUUCUACUGUGUGUUUGAAUUGAAACUUGAAUAAAUUAAUAUUCUCACUGAUGAUCUACGUGUUUCUAUAUUGUUGAGAUUAUGUUGAUUUUGUUUAGUUGAGUUAUUUAAUUGUGUUCAUCGACAUUGCAAUAAGUGAAUAGACUCAAGUGGGUUCAUAAGACAAGUAUAUAUUAUAGGUUGGGUAUUCAUAGACAUGACAAAGCACAAAGUAUUUUUGUUUAUGUUAUGAAUCAUGGAAUCCUAGGGAUAAAGAUCAUAGUGAUCGAUCAGCUAGAAAGAGAGCAUAGGUCUAUUAAUGUGGGAGAUACACAUAGUGACUCAUAGUAGAGUAAACUAGAUUAGAUAAAAGAAGAAUAGAGUACACUGGUGAGGGUUAUUUAUAGGGGUGAGUUAGUCUAACUAACUCCUAACCUACCAACUAACCAUAGUUUACAUAUCAACUAACUAUGGUUUACUCACUAUACUCUAAUAAUCUCAGGGAUAAAGAUCAUAUUGAUCAGCUAGAAAGAGAGCAUAGGUGUAUUAAUGUGGGAGAUACCCAUAGUGACUCAUAGUAGAGUAAACUAGAUUUGAUAAAAGAUGAAUAGAGUACAAUGGUGAGGGUUAUUUAUAGGGGUGAGUUAGUCUAACUAACUCCUAACCUACCAACUAACCAUAGUUUACAUAUCAACUAACAAUGGUUUACUCACUAUACUCUAAUAGUCCCCCUCAAACUCAAAAUGGGAAAAUUCACCAAUUUGAGUUUGAAAAUACAGUGAAAAUACUAUGAUGAACUAUACUGUAGACCAAGUAAACUAGACGGUGAACUAAGUAAAACAAAAACUAAUGGGAAAUGAUGCAGCCCAAUGCAAAAUUAUAAUCUGUCCAUAGCCCAUUUGCAAGGAAUUUCCAGUAGGUACACAUUGCCACUCCCAUUGUGAAAGUUCCAAAACAUCGUAAUGAAGGAGAAACGCCAUGUUGCUAACUGAACGUACUUUACCAAAAUAGCUUGUACCAAACGUGCUUUUCAAAAAUCGCUUUUCCAUAAUCUGUAAAGUGAUUAGUCUUCUGUAAAGAGAAACAAGAUAACGGGAUAAUCCUCUUGUGCAAAACGUGCUUCUUCCAGAAAUAGCUUUUCUGAAUGAAAAAUAACUUAUGCCAAAAGCACUUUUCCAAAAAACAGCUUUUCUAAAAAUCGAAAUUCUGAAACGCACUUUUGUGAUUCUGUGAUUGUCCAAACGCAAGUCUGAACGGAAUCAAAACAACUCAUACCAAACGCGUUCUUCCAAUAAGCACUUCUCCAAAAUCCGAUUUAAAAUAACUUCUUCAAAACGUGCUUAUGUAAAGCUUCUUUAAACUGGAAUGAUGAAUCUGAGAUGAUUGAAACACGAAUUUGCGAUAUCAGAGAACAAUACAAAGCCGCAAACAAGGAAUCUCAGAUCAGAGAGCUAAUUUACGAUGUAGAGAGGAAGAAGGAGACGAACGCCAAAAGGCUCAAAUCUUGUUGUGUCGAGUAUCAGAAAGAACGAUACCUAUGUCGAAAAUGUGCCACCGUGAAUAACCGUUUUCCUUCCUCUAUCCCAAGGUAUCCACCACAAACGGAAGGAACGAUAUCAGAGAACAAUAAAAGCAGAGAACAGUGAAGACAAAUGUGUUCUUCCGCCGGGAUCGAAUUCCACAAUAAACUCGUCAUGUAAUGUGAAAAACAAAAGUUUAUUGUUGUCUGAGGAAACCAGCGGUUCAGUCUGUUUUCCAAUGAACAACCACAAAGCCAAAGGCUUCACGGCGGCGACGCCGUAAACAGAGCUCCUCAAUCUCACCGGUAAAGUUGUGAUGAACUCUUUCGACACUUCAGAAAUAACGAAAUCAGAGUCGCGAUUCUUCAAUUCAGGUUCAAGAACUUCCAAUUUCUCAUCUUCUUGCGAUUCAAUGAACACACAAUCGUCUUCUUUGACGAUGUUGCAGCAAGGAUCGACGAUUACGCAAGAAAUCUCACCAAUCUUGAUGAAAAUCCAUCAAAUUUUGGUUUGAUUGAAAGGUUAGAAACCGGUAUGAUUGGAGAAUCAAAACUGCCGAAAAGGACGCAAUCUUGAGAAGUUGAAGUAUCCUAAAAUGCAGAAGUUGCGAAAACCGCAUCAUCAAAUUCUUCAUCUUCGUGGAAGCGGAAGCAUCAUCAACUUCAUCCCUAGGGUAUCACUCUGAUACCAUGUUAUGAAUCAUGGAAUCCCAUGGAUAAAGAUCACAGUGAUCAGCUGAAAAGAGAGCAUAGGUGUAUUCAUGUGGGAGAUACACAUAGUGACUCAUAGUAGAAUAAUCUAUAUUUGAUAAAAGAUGAAUAGAGUACACGGGUGAGGGUUAUUUAUAGGGGUGAGAUAGUCUAACUAACUCCUAACCUACCAACUAACCAUAGUUUACAUAUCAACUAACUAUGGUUUACUCAUUAUACUCUAAUAAUCCCAGGGAUAAAGAUCAUAGUGAUCAGCUAGAAAGAGAGCAUAGAUGUAUUCAUGUGGGAGAUACUCAUAGUGACCCAUAGUAGAGUAAAUUAGAUUUCAUAAAACAUGAAUAGAGUACAAUGGUGAUAGUUAUUUAUAGUGGUGAAUUAGUAUAACUAACUCCUAACCACCUAACCUACCAACUAACCAUAGUUUACAUAUCAACUAACAAUGGUUUACUCACUAUACUCUAAUAGUUUACGAAAUAACCUACCAACAAAAUUCAACUGAAAUCUAAUCACUAGCUAUGAAAAUGACAAACUUGAUGAAUAAUUUCUUUAUCAACUUCAGCACAAACAUUUUUUUAAGGAAACUUCAGCACAAGCUUUUUCACAUUUAAGUGCAAUAGAAAAGCGGAGAAAUAGACACCUUAGUUCCCAUCUUUGAACGAACUUAAAAACAAAAAAGUCCAUUAUUUUAAGGCUCAAGUUGUCAAAAGUAGUAAGGUAACAAUGACAUUUUAUAGAUUUGAUGAAAUUAAGAGACUUCAUAUAUUUUACAAGAGUCAAAACUCUGUCAAAUUCAAAAGCAUUCGAACACCUAGAAAAAUUCUUAUAAAUUUAGUAUCUUAAAAUUUCUUAAAUGUCGGAAGUUUCUCAUUCUUAAAGUUAGAUUACCACUCUUUGAGAUCUGAAAGUGUAAACACAUACAUAUUUAUUUGUAAACUCUAAGUGUAGAAUUCAUCUUGUUGAGGCAAAAAAGUCUUUGACUUGUGUGUUGGGGCAAUUAUGUGUUGGAGCAACUGUAAUCUUCUGUGAUUAUAGUGAAAAAAAUCUCUUAUAAGUUCAAGGGGACUAGACUAACCUUGGAUUCUGGGGUGAACCAGGAUAAUUUUAUCUCUCUGUACUCUCUCUGAUUAUCUUGCUUUGCUAUGUUUUGUUUAAACACUUUAAAAGAUUUUCAGCAAAAAUCAAUACAAUUCAAACCCCAUUCUUGUGUUUUUAUCAUCUUCAUAUAUUAUUACUGUUAAUGAAAUAGCAUCAAUGUUCGCAAAAAAAAAAACGGAAAACAACUUUAAUGUUGCUGCUAUAAUUAUGUUUAUGAAGUUUCUUUUGAAUAUAGAAAGACGAUCUAAAGGUUGAAUUUUUUUAUGACAUCUUACUGGCAUAUUUAGAACUUUAAAAUACAGUUUUCCACCAAAAAAAUAGAAAUUUUCCACAAAAGUAUGAUUAAUUAUGAAUUUUCAUUCCUUGUAAUUAAGAAUUUUUUAAACAAUUUAUAAUUAAUUCAUUCCUCGUUUAAAAACUCUAAAAUUUUAUGGUGAAGAUUCUUAUGUUGUUAUAACUAUGCAUAAAUAAUCAGGGAACAAAAUUUAACACGUGCCUAUAUGCUUACUCAGAACGAAAUUGUAAUUUUACUCGGAACGAAUUUUCAUUACGAAAUUGUAAUUUUGUCGGUAAAAUUUUGUAAACUCUGAUUGUAAUGCUUACUCAGAACGAAAUUUUGGUGUCAUUAAAAAAAACAUUUAGAUUAUAUUUUUUGUUGUUGUUAUAUUACAUUAUUGUCGGUGUCGUUAAAAUAGAUAAUCAUGGUUAGUGUGAUUUUUUAUAACUUGAAAACAACAAACAUUUAUAUUUUUUUAGUUUUAAUCAAAAUCAAAAUUUCAUAAAAAGAAAUUUGAUGGGUGUUACUUUGUAAUUUUCUUCUAUCACUCUCCGUUGUGGUUUUUGUAUUGGGAUAAUACUCUAAACUUCGUAUUUUGGUGGGUGGUUCUCUUUUGCACGUUUUGUGUGAGAUGAAUCACCUUGUGUGAUCUACAUAUUCCAUUUUGAUUUGUUCAAAAACAAAAUUCAUAAAAAGAACACCGUUCAUAAUAUUCAAAUGUUAGCGCAAUAAAAAGAGCGGAAAGACGAGCACAUGAGUGCCAAUCUUUUCGCUAGUAUAUAUAAAGAAAACUACCUCUUUCAGCACUUUUGGGUUGGAUUUUUCUAUUCAAAAAUACCCUUAAUUUUCAAUACAAAUAACACAUGUAACAAAUAGAUAAGAAUAAAUUUAAAUAUUAAAAAAAUAUAACAAAUACGAUAUGAAUUUAUAAAUGUCCAAUUUUUUCCUUUAUCUUUUAAAAAGUGUAACAAACUGAAUAAGUAUAUUUAUACUAACUUUUUCAUUAUUCCAAUUAUACCCUUAAACAAUUUUUUUCUAUAAUAAAGAUUGUUGUUAGUGUCAUUAAAAAAAUAAUUUAGUUUAGUUUAGUUUGUUAUAACUUGAAAACAAUAAACAUUUAUAUUUUAAUUUUAAUCAAAAUCAAAAUUUAAUAAAAAAAUCACCGUUCAUAAUUUUCAAAACUUACCGCAAUAAAAAGAGCGGAAGUGUCCGUCUUUUCGCUAAUAUAUAUAUAUAUAGAGAGAGCGCAAUUGUGCUUGUUUUCGCUAAUGAAGUAAGGCAACAAUACCAUAUAUUUAAAUCACAUUCAUCUCAAAUUUUUAUGUGUAUCUUGUAACACUCUGUUUUCACGUUUCAUGUAUGUAGUUGCUGCACACUCUUGUUUAUUUGUUUUAAGUAUUUUAGAAAUGCCCAUAGAUAGUAAAACCCAUGGGGAAAGUUUCUCUCGGAAAAACAUGAACCUGAAUCGUAUUUUACAGUUGAUUAGAUGUGCAUUAGAUUUUUUUUUUUUUAUUUUUUUUUAAUUUUUUUUAUGAAACUAUAAGAGUGUGCUUGGAUGGGAGAAUAUUUUGAGGUAAUGUAAUGUUUUGAGGGGAUUCAAUUAUUUUGAGGUGGAUUCAAACAAUAGAAUUCAUCUCAAAGUAGUUAAAUUCCUUCAAAACAUUACAUUCCCUCAAAACAUUUCCCCAUCCAAACAUACCCUAAUGAAAUAUAUUAACCAAGGUUCUUAGCAUUUCCCGCACAAGGAGUGCCAGAAGAGGAUUAAGAGAGAAAAUUAUUUGUACAUCAGAAAAACAAAAAAAAAAAAAAAUCAAAGCGAUACAACCACAUAACUGACACACUAAAACACAAAGAAUGAAGCUAAAUAUUAAGUCCCAAACACAUAAGGAGAUUAAGCUACCACAUAUGGUAGUUAAAAGCAAAAUUAAGGUGAUUUGCUUUUAACCACCACAAGGAUUGAAGCUUAAAUUUAUCUAGAAGAAGUUGAAAAGGAUCCCCUUUUUGUUGAAAAGCUCUAGCAUUUAUGUCUCGUAAAAUAGUCCAAACACAAGAGAACCAAAUCAAACGAAAAGCAUGACAACUGUUUCUUGAGAAACCACCUAACGAUCGAAAUUGAAGUAAGUGGUCCUUAACAUGAGUUGGCUUGACUGAAACCCAACCCAGCUAAUUGUAAAUAUCUAAUCAUAUUUUACCAAAAUAGUCGCAAGUCAAAAUCUCAUGAUCAAUAUUCUCUUCAGAGCCGCAAUCACCCGAGCAAAAAUGAUUAUUCGGUUGAAACACCCUUCUCCUGAUUAAGUAUAUGUUGUUGGAAGACGGUUACGCAAUAAGCGUCAAGCAUAAAUGUUGAAUUUUAAAAGGACCUCUUUGUGCCAAAUGGUUUUUGGUUGAUCGUUGUCUAAAUGUUGAUCUCGAUCCCUUGCUGUUAAAUAGUUGUAAACACUAGUAACAUUGUAUCUUGAAGAGGCAUGAAAUUGCCAAAUCCACAUAUUAUUCACAUCAGCAUGCAAAGCAGUGGGUGAUAAAAGCACACAACACUCGCUCUCUAGUUCCUCCUCCCAAGACAACAAUCUCCACUAUCAUUUCCAAGCCACACCACCCUCCCCCAACCUAUUCUUCAUAAAACAACCUACUUAUUCAGCAAGGUCAAAAAUGCGACUGAAUCUAUUCUUCAAUCCUCCCUCCAUCCAAGUAUCCCACCAAAACAAAGUACAUAUUCCAUCUCCCACGUAAUGUCGUAAGUAAUCGAUAAACAACCUACUUACCCCCUCUGCGCCACCCUUAAUACUAAUCAAAUUUUCCACCACACUGAAGCUACUUUUCCUCCAUCACUGAUAGUUCCACUUUCCUCACCAUACCUCGUUGUUGAGAUUCGAUACCACAAACAACCUUUUUUUCUCGCUCAACCUCCAACACCACUUAGUGAGUAAAGACAAAUUAAUCUAUCUAAUCCUUCUGACCCUCAGACCUCCAUCCUCCAUUUUUAAGAAAUAAUAUCUCAAUUCAUCCAAGAUAUUUUCCUAGAAUCCUCACUCCCCAACCCCCCAAAAAAAUCAAUUAAAAAUAUAUUAAGGAGAAUAAAUCAUACAUGCGGGAGCAUUGAAUAAGAAAAUAAAAUAGACAAGUAGAGAUGACAUAAUAGACUUCAAAAGAACCAAACAGCCACCCAAAGUUAAAUAUCUACUCUUCCACCCAAUAGUUUAUAAUUAACUCACUCAAACAAGGGAUUCCAAAAGUUAAAUUUAUGGGACUCACCACCAAUAGGGAGACCCAAAUAAAAGAAAGGUACACGACUAGUUUUAUAAUUUAACACUAUUGAAGCCUCAGUGAACCAGGUAUCUGACACAUUAAUCCAACAAGCACGCUUUUAUGAAAUCUGACCUUGAGGCCUGAAGUCACUUCAAAAAAUAUGAGCAAAGCCUUUAAAGAUCGGAUAUUUGCCAAAUUUUUAUUUCCUACUAGUAAAGUGUCAUCGACAAACUGCAAGUGAGAAAUAAUAACAUUGUAUGUCUGGCCAACCUUGUAACUUAAGAAUAAACCAGCACGAAGUAAAGCAUUCAUCAUAAAAUUAAGGCCUUCCACCACAAUUAAUAAGAGAAACAGAGAAAGUAGGUCACCUUAGCGCAUACCUCGUUCUAGCUGUAACUCGUUUGUUGGCAGUCGCUCACUAGCACAAAUGCAGACAUUGUAGUUACACACUCCAUGAUCCAUUUGCACCAUAAAACAGGGAAAUUCAGUUUGGUCAUAAGAUCAUUAACGUAACGUGAAUCAACAAAAUCAAAAGCCUUCUCAAAAUCGACUUAAAAAGGAUAAACUUGUUUUUCAAGCGGCAAGCACCGUCUACAUUCUUGUUUGCAAUUAAAAUACCGUCUAGAAUUUGUUUGCCAUGAACAAAAGCUGGAUGAGACUUUUAAAUGAUGCUUUUGAUGGCACAACGCAAUCUAUUAGAUAGCACCUUAGCCAAAACUUUAUACAUACACCCGAUCAAAGAGAUCGGUCUGAAGUUUGACAAACGUUAAGGGUUUUCCAUCUUAGGAAUAAGAGCGAUAAAAGUACUAUUUAUUCCUUUAGAUAACUUCUCAUUCCAAUGAAAUUUAGAGAUGAAGCACAUAAUAUCAUCUUUAAGCUCAACCCAAAAAUCCUUAAUGAAGCCAAAAUUAAUUUCAUCAGCCCCCAGACUCUUAACUAUCGCAGUCCCACAAUGCCUGCUUCAGCUCUUCAAUGCAAAAUGGUUUUGUUAAAAGUCCACCUUGGUCCAGAUUGAGAGUUUUGUAAGUAAGAUUUUCCACAAUAGGCCUGUCCAAGUUUGUAUCGUGAAAGUGAUUAUCAAAAUGAUUAAAGAUUGCACUUCUGAUAUCAGUCACUCCCCCGAUUUGCAGCCCAUUAACUGAGAGAGAGACAAUUGAGUUUGAUAUUCUUCUAGAUGACAUAAUACCAUAAAAGAAUUUGGAGUUAGCAUCACCUUCUUUUUGCCAACUAAUUUUAGAUUUUUCAUUGCAUGCUUGUAUUGAGCUUAGACAAAGAGAGCAAAUUUUCCGAAUAUGAGUGAAGUUCCUUAACCUCUUUUGCCUCAAGAAUAAAAUCUUUACCUUUAGAAUCAAGUAUUUAUAUGCUUAUGUGAAUAUCAUUGAUUCUAGCAUCUAAAUUUUGAGUAUGAUUUUAAUGCCAAACUUUGUGACUACCUUUGAUCAGUUUUAAUUUUUCCUUAAGCACAUACUCUCCCCAACCUGACACUUGCAAAGAAUGCCACUUGUCUUGGACAAAAAGAUGAUAAACUGGAAGAUCACCCCAACAUUUUAACAUACGUUGCAGUCCAGAUCUAUACUUCUAACAAAUCAAACGGAUCAGAACGGACUUAUCAAGCAUCCAAACGCCAAGGAGUUUGCUCAAAAGGGAUUUUGCUCAAUUCCCUUGGGUAUCUAAAGGAGAAUCUGCAUGGUAACAGAGGGAGGAAGUACGGUACUUAAAUUCUAGAAACAGUAAAAGCAAAGAUCCUUUUUUCAUUAAUUUUACUUAUUUUGUACAUUGAGUAAAGUGGUGGACAUAUAGUUUGUUAUGAGGACAAAAUACUUUUAGUAGUCAAGAUUAGGAAUACAAUUCAAUUAAAGUGAGCUGUAAGAUUUAUUUUAAGCAAGCAUAUUUACUUAUCUUGUUCAUUAGGUAAAGUUUCAAGAGCAUGAAAAUUUAAAGCACUACACUGAGCCCAUCUAUAUGUAAUACGCAUUUUGAUUUAUGUUUUCGUUAAGUUUGAAAGAUCAAUAUCCCUCAACCAUUACAUUGUGUUGUGAAUCCGAUUAAAACUCACAUCAAUGUAAACAAAGAUGUGUGGAGCAAAAGGGAGUGGUAAUCUAUGAGUAAAGUGUCUCCAAGCAACAACAACAAAAACAGCCCUAGUCUAGUGUAGAGCAACACCACAAGAGAAUACAAAGCAAACAAGAUAAGCAAGAAAGGAAGAACAAACACACCAAAAAGAUUGUUGACCCAGUUCAGCCAAUAUGGCCUAAUCUGGGGGAGAGAGCAGCUCUCCAAUCCACUAUAAUGAAAGUGUUACAAAGGGUUACAAGAAAAAUAGCUUGCAAGCUUACACAAGAACAAGACCUAGAUUCUACCCAUUUGUGUUUCCCCACUCUCACAAUAUGAACCCUAAAAGAGAAGACACUAGAGGAAGCUUUAGAUCCUUCCAAUGGUGAAAUCUCACUACCCAAGGUGUUUACAAUGUUUUUCCCAACCCAAGAGAUCCUCUCUACAAAGACACUCAACCCUAGAGUUCCCUCCUUUGUAAUCCAAGUUUCUCUCUCUAAGCUCUUCCAAGCUCUCCUUCAAAAUAGCACAAGAACACAAUAUAUACUAGUCUCCUUCUGAAGCAAUCGUGUCACGAUUUGCGUCCGUUCCAAGGCAUGACCAGUCCUUAUCAGUGAUACUUAAUGAGCAAGUUUCUGAAUCGUGUCACGAUUUCCCAAGAUCGUGUCACGAUUUGGCGUCCUGCAAACUAGCUCACGGCACCUCGAAAUCGUGUCACGAUGCCAAAAUCGUGUCACGAUUUCUCUGUUCUUCCAGACCACAAAUUUGAAGCCAAUAUCAACAUUUCUCCACCUUGACUUCUAAUUUGGUGGUGAUGUCAGUUUAACCAUCAACCACCAUGCUGCUCUCUCCAAAAGGGAAUUACUCUUCGACAAAUUUGAUCAAGUCCAAGCAAUGCUUGAAUCUUGAUCUAGGCAAUGACUUGGUGAACACAUCCGCCGGAUUCUCCUCCGAUGCCACUUUCUCAACCACAAUCUCUUUUGAUUCAAUCAUGUCUCUAACAAAGUGCAGGCGAAUGUCAAUGUGCUUUGUCCUUUCAUGAUACACUUGAUGAUUUGCCAAGUGAAUGGCACUUUGACUAUCACAAUGUAUCUUCACACAUUCUUGAGUAAUUCCUAACUCACCAAUCAUCCCUUUCAACCAUAUGGCCUCCUUCACACCUUCAACAAGUGCGAUGUACUCCGCUUGAGUUGUAGAUAAUGCCACCACGGAUUGUUGAUUUGCCUUCCAACUAAUAGCCGUGCCAUAAAGAGUAAACACAAAACCCGACAAGGAUUUUCUAGUGUCCACGUUGCCCGCAUAAUCCGCAUCAACAUACCCCUCCAAAGCGUCUUCAUCUUGAGCUGCCCUUGUGUACUUCAAACCGCCCUUCAACGACCCAUUCAAAUACCUCAAAACCCACUUCAAAGCUUGCCAAUGCACAAUUCCCGGAUUUGCCAUAAACCGACUCACAAUGCUAACCGCAUAAGCCAAGUCCGGCCUACUACAAACCAUUCCAUACAUGAUGCUUCCAACCCCACUUGCAUAGGGAGUACCUUCCAUCAAUUGCUUCUCAUCCUCGGAUUGAGGACAUUGUUGUAUGGACAACUUUGUGUGGUGACCCAAGGGAGUGCUCACGGUUUUAGAGUUUGACAUUCUAAACCGCUCCACCACCUUCUUCAAAUAACCAAGUUGAGAUAAGAAAAGUUCGCCUUUGUCACGAUUCCUCUUGAUAUCAAUCCCAAGAACUCUCUUUGCCGGACCAAGAUCUUUCAUCUCAAAUUCACCAUUUAACCUCUCCUUGAGCUUCAUAAUCUCAUCCUUGCUAGAGCUCGCCAUCAAGAUAUCAUCCACAUAUAAAAGAAGAUAGAGAAUGACUUUCUCACUCUUCUUCAACAUGUACACACAAGAAUCAUAUCCGCUUCUCACAAAACCGGUCUUCAAAAGAAACUCAUCAAACCGACGAUACCAUUGCCUAGGGCUUUGCUUCAACCCAUACAAAGAUUUCUUCAAAAGACACACCUUAGACUUGUCCUCCACAAAACCUUCCGGUUGCUCCAUGUAGAUUGUCUCUUCAAGGUCACCAUGUAAGAAAGCGGUCUUCACAUCCAUUUGUUCCAACUCAAGAUUGAAUUGAUUCACGAUAGUCAUAAGUAUCCUUAUGGAACAAUGUUUCACCACCGGUGAAAAGAUCUCGUUGUAGUCGAUCCCCUCCACUUAAAUGAAACCCUUAGCCACAAGUCUUGCUUUGUACCUUGGACCUUCAACACUCGGAAUACCUUCCUUUUUCUUGAAGAUCCACUUGCAUCCAACUACCCUUUGGUGAUUAGGUAGCUUCACAAGUUUUGAAGUUUGGUUCCUUACCAAUGAAUCAAUCUCUUCAUUCACCGCCUUCAACCAAUAAUUGCUCUCUUUGCUCUCAAAUGCCUCCUUGAAGUUUCUAGGCUCCAAGUCAUGCACAUCUUCAGCCGCAUUUAGAGAAAAACACACCAAGUCCGCAUAACCAUAUCUCCUAGGAGCCGUAAUGGUCCUUCUUUCUCUAUCUCUAGCCAAGAGAUAAUCCGGAUUCACUACCGGUUGAGUUUCAUUUGUAUCGAUGUUGAAGCUUCAUCUUCUACAUCUUCUUCUUCUUCAUUUGGAAGCUCCACCUCAAACUGAGUUUUCUCCACCAUUUUCCGGUACUAAAGUCUCUAGGUCUUUACACAUCAUCCCCAUACGGGUCUCAUCGAAGGUAACAUCCCUACUAAUCAAGACUUUUGAUCCUCCAAUAGAUUCCAAUUUCCACAACUUGUACCCCUUCACACCUUCCGGAUAACCAAUGAAGACACAUGAUGUAGUAUUUUUGCAUCAAACAAUUGUAAGUAUUUAUAUCGUCUCCUCAGGGACAAGUGCGAUAUCGCGGACCGUUCAACACCAUCAUUCUAAGUUAAACGAUAAUUUGUUGUUUGUUUUAGUAACUAAAUUGCAAAUGAUAAAAUUGAGAUUAAUAGGGCGUGAAACUUGUUAGGAUUAGAGUUCCUUGAUCAAGCAUCACACAUAACCUAAUGAACAAACAUGGAUUCUAGCUUUUCAUUGAUAUUAUCACGUAUCCCUCGACAACACUAUUCGUGUCCAAACAAUAUUGUGAAAUCAAUUAUAUCAUUCAAUCGUCGAUGUCUCAAACUAUUGAAUGAUUCAAGAGUCGAUCUUAUCGUACAAUCGAUGAUUUCUAAAUCUAUUGAAUGAUAAGAAAGCUUUAGGUUUGGAUACACAAAGUGAUUAUCAAAACAUCGAUUCCAUGUCUAGAACCUAUGUUUCGAUAGAUGGUUAUUCUAAACCUAGAUUCAAAAGUAUUUCUCAAUCACAAUUAAAUCAAAGAUAAAGAUUAAAGUGCAAGAAUAACAUCAAUAUCAAAUCAAAUGCUAGAACCAUAUAUUUAUAGAUCAAAAGAUUACAUGUUAAGCUAAGAUCAAGUACCUCUAAUGCCAACAAAGGAGAUUUAGCUACUCAUUGUCAUGGAAGCCUUGCAAGGAUGAAGUGAAAGAGAAAGAUCCAUUACACACUUGUUAUCUCUCAACAAAGUGAUGUAGAAUUCACUUUCUAUCACUCCCACUCUAUAAAGCACAAGCCCUAUCUCUCUCUCUAAGAAUAUUACAAGUGAAAAGUAUGAAAAACUCAGAGAAAACUAAGUAUAUCAAUGAAAUGGUUGAGUGGGCUAUUUAUAGAAUUCUGACUCUGCAUCAACUCGCCUCGCGAGCUCAUUCAUUCGCCAUGGCGAGUUGAGGUUCCUUCGCCAUUGGGUUUGUGCCACGUCAGCUGUGAGAGGCUAAACCGCCCUAGCUCGCCUCGCGAGAAAUGCACUCGCCAUGGCGAGUAAGCUCGCCUUCCACUAGCCAUUGCGAGUUGGUGGCGUGUAAUCUUUGUUGCAUUCUGGAAUUGCUCGCCUUUGAAGCUCGCCAUGGCGAGUUGGAGGCGAGUGAUCUUCAUUUUUCAGCCUCUUUGUACUUUUCUUCAUUUUCUUCUCUUUGCUUGAUGUCUUGAGUUCAAAUCCUACACAAAUGGGUGAAGUAAGAUAGAUAAAGCGUAAAAGGGCAAUAAUCACUUAUUUCUCGGCUUUUCCCUCAAUAACUUGCAAAACAAGUCACAAAAGUGCCUAAAAUAUAUCAUUUAAAAUACAACUUUCUAGCACUUAUCAACACAUUUCAAAGCUCUAGGCUCAAGCUUGUCUUGCUUGAUAUGCGCAUAUGCCAAAGCUCCGAAAACCUUCAAAGAGGAGUAAUCAGCCGGUUUCCCACUCCAUACCUCCAUAGGUGUCUUGAAGUCUAUACCCGUUGAUGGACAUCUAUUGAUCAAAUAAGCAGCCGUUGUCACAGCUUCACCCCAGAAACUCUUAGGUAACCUAGCUCCUAGAAUCAUGCAUCUCACACGCUCCAAAAGAGUCCUAUUCAUGCGUUCAGCAAGACCAUUUUGUUGCGGUGUUUUCGGUACGGUCCUAUGCCUCUUGAUUCCUUUAAACCUGCAAAACUCAUUAAAUUGCUCUGAAACAAACUCCAAGCCAUUGUCAGAUCUUAAACCUUUUAGUUUAGUUCCCAUUUGAUUUUCUAUGAGAGUGUGCCAUUCCUUAAACUUUUCAAAUGUGUCACUUUUGUUUUUCAAAACAAAGACCCACACUCUCCUAGAAUAAUCAUCAAUGAUAGAAAGAAAAUAGGAACCUCCCACAUAAGUAGGAGUCUUGGAAGGACCCCAAAGAUCCGAAUGCACAUACUCAAAAGGCCUACUAGAAUGAUGCAUGCCACUACCAAACUUCACUAUAUGUUGCUUGCCUAGUAUGCAUUGCUCACAAAAUUCUAGCUUGUCCAAUUUAUCUUUCCCUAGCAAAUCUUGUUUAGCUAGUUCAACUAAAUCUCUUUCACUAACAUGCCCCAACCUCAAAUGCCACAAUUCAGAAUUAUUAUGAGAUGCAACAUUAGCUACCGAUGCAUUACCAAUUACUAUGGAACCAUCUAAAAUGUAUAAACCAUUCAUUUUAGACCCCUCAACCGUAAUCAAUGCACCAUGCGAAAUUUUACAAACCCCAUGCUCAAUUCUAGUGCAAUAACCUAGACUAUCAAACAUGCUUAGGGAAAUUAAAUUUCGCUUAAGUUCGGGAACAAACCUCACAUCCCUUAAAAGGAAUUCACGGCCAUCAAACAUCUUUAGACGAACGUUGCCCAUGCCUUGGACUUUGCAAGCUUUGUUAUUUCCGAGUCGAACAACUCCUCCUUCUUUUAGAGUCAAAGUCUCAAAAUAUUCCUUUCUAGGACACAUGUGGUAAGAGCAUCCCGAGUCCAAAACCCAACUCUUCUCCAGUUCCCAACUUGUAACCACUAGUGCACCCGCACUCUCAUAACCUUCUUCAUUUGAAGCCUCCGCAACUUGGACCGAAGGACUACCAUCGCCGCCCUUAUCCGGACAAUCCUUCUUGAAAUGACCUUGCUUGUGACAAAGAAAGCAUUUAUACUUUGAUUUGUCAAAGCCCUUGGACCUCGACUUCCCCUUGCCUUUUCCUCUAUGCUCAUUCCUCUCUCUUGCAACAUUCAAGCCUUCACUACCUUCAUCAACCUUCAAGUCCUUGAACUUGGUCAAUUCCUUGGUUCUCAAAGCCGCUUGGACCUCCUCCAAAGUAGUAGUGCCCUCCUUACCAUAAAUGAUGGUAUCCUUAAAAUGCUCAAAAGACUUUGGUAAUGAACAAAGUAACAACAAAGCCUUAUCCUCAUCUUCCAUGUUAACUUCAAUGUUGACCAAAUCAUCAAGAAUCUUGCUAAAUUCCGUCAAUAGCUCCGAGAUUGAUUUAGACUCCACCAUCUUGAAUGAAUAAAGUUGUUGUUUCAAGAGUUGCUUAUGAGCUAAAGAUUUCGUCAUGUACAAUAACUCCAACUUAGCCCACAUCGAUGUCGCGGUAGCUUCUCUCGCGACAUCCCUUAAGACCUUAUCUCCGAGACAUAAAACAAUAGCACUCUUUGCCUUGUCUAUCAUCUCCUACUUCUCUUCUUGUGUCAAAGUUGCCGGCAUAGCCGCUUCACCCUUCAAUGCUUCUACACACUUUUUAUGUGUCAAAACCGCUUGCAUCUUAAUCUUCCACAACCCGAAAUCAUUACUUCCGGUGAACUUCUCGAUGUCCCACUUUGAACCCAUGAUACGAACUACCAAUAACGCCUAUGCCCCAUGGUGGGCGCCAAUUGUUGUGAAUCCGGUUAAAACUCACACCAAUGUAAACAAAGAUGUGUGGAGCAAAAGGGAGUGGUAAUCUAUGAGUAAAGUGUCUCCAAGCAACAACAACAAAAACAGCCCUAGUCUAGUGUAGAGCAACACCACAAGAGAAUACAAAACAAACAAGAUAAGCAAGAAAGGAAGAACAAACACACCAAAAAGAUUGUUGACCCAGUUCAGCCAAUAUGGCCUAAUCUAGGGAAGAGAGCAGCUCUCCAAUCCACUAUGAUGAAAGUGUUAAAAAGGGUUACAAGAAAAAUAGCUUGCAAGCUUACACAAGAACAAGACCUAGAUUCUACCCAUUUGUGUUUCCCCACUCUCACAAUAUGAACCCUAAAAGAGAAGACACUAGAGGAAGAUUUAGAUCCUUCCAAUGGUGAAAUCUCACUACCCAAGGUGUUUACAAUGUUUUUCCCAACCCAAGAGAUCCUCUCUACAAAGACACUCAACCCUAGAGUUUCCUCCUUUGUAAUCUAAGUUUCUCUCUCUAAGCUCUUCCAAGCUCUUCCCCAAAAUCUGCACAAGAACACUUAAAUACUAGCCUUCCUCUGAUAAAAUCGUGUCACGAUUUCCAGAUCGUGGCACGAUUUGAACGUACGUCCCAAGGUAUGACCAGUUCUUAUCAAGGAUACUUAACGAGCAAGUUUGAAAAUCGUGUCACGAUUUUCCAAGAUCGUGUCACGAUUUGGCACCCUGCAAACCAGCUCACGGCAUCACGAAAUCGUGUCACGAUGCCAAAUUUGUGUCACGAUUUCUCUGUUCUUCCAAACCACAAAUUUGAAGCCAAAUGUCAACACAUUGAAUGAAUGAUGUCAUCCCAAACUACCCUUGAAGAAAAUAUUGUGGAGCUACAUAGGUACAUAGAUAUAGAUCAAACACCCCAAAAUUCACGACCAAAGAUACAAAGGGUGCCACAGUAUCUCAGAAAUAGAACAAAAUUUGAGGAGCAUUACACCCCCAAGUUGGUGUCAAUAGGUCCUAUCCAUCAUGACAAUCCAAAGCUGAAGAUAGGAGAGAAAUACAAGCUUAUGUGGGCAGCAAAAUACAUCAAAAACACGGGAAGAAUUAAGAAGGAUCUACACAAAAAGAUUGUAGAUAACAUUGAUGAACUGAAGGGUCAUUUUAGCGACGACGUUUUAACUUUGACCGGCAAGUCUCUUAAAGGCUUCCGUAGCCUUGAAGAAAAGUUGUCGUGGAUAUUGUUCGUGGAUAUAUGGAUGUUCUUUGCUGCAUAUCUUAGAGAAAGCCAAGCUUCAUGAACCAGGGCAGAUGAAUAUUAAGGUUGAUAAACUGGUUCUUGUGAUGAUGGAUGUGCUUUUGUUGGAGAAUCAACUCCCUUACAUAGUACUCAAACUAUUAUUGAAAGAUAACAAUGAGAAUGAAUUGAUAAAUACCAUGAAAAAUUUCCUCAAAUGUCAUCAUUGGACCACACCAGAUAAUAAGAGGAACCGGAGGUGGCGAGACAUUCAAAAGAUUAGCAAUAUGGUUGGACAGUAAAGGAAAAGAACAACAUAGUACCGUAUUGAUUACGAAUGAGUUGGAGACAUCAUCAAAGAAGGAGAAGGAAAUGGUUUCAAAAGGAAAAGGAGAAGGAGAACACAGUGUAUCAAUACCAUUACCAAGUGAGUCCCAAUCAGAGACACCCACUCAUCUUUUUGAUCUUCAGCGUAAACUCAUCCUCAAUCCAUCUAAUUCCAAGGUACGAAAGAAAUUAGAGACAAAAGUAAAAUUUGUUACUAAAUUUUUGUCUUAUUAAAACUUAACGACAAAAUUAGAAACAGAUUUUGCCUUUUUCCGUUUCUAAAUUUGCUACCAUUAUUAUAAUUACAGAGUGGAGGUGCAAAAUGUAAUAUAUAUUAUUGUAAGAGGAAAUCAAUUUUUAAAUUUUAUUGUUCUGAUCCAAUCCAUUUUCGAUUAAAACAUAGAUUAGAGAAUAUGAAGCUUCCAAAGAGAAAUGGUCUAAGAGUCCAAAUGAAAGCAUCUCGAUUAUGACAUACAGGAGCAUACAAGAUCUAAGAAAAGUAGGAAUAAGACUUAAGUCAAGCAUGACUCGAAGUCCAAGAGACUUGGAUUUCUCUGAAGGAUGGUUGAUUGCAAAGCUAACUCUACCUGAGAUCGUUGUGGACGACUCAUCAGCUACUACUUAUCUCAACCUGAUAGCAUAUGAGAUGUGUCCAGAUUUUAAGAACAACUACAGAAUUUGUUCUUUUGCAGCUUUCAUGGACUCACUCAUCGACCAUCCUGAAGUUGUGAAGCUAUUGAGAUCAAAAGAGAUUUUGCUCAAUUCCCUUGGGAGCGAUGAGGAAAUUGCCGAUCUUUUCAAAAUCAUAGGUACCGACUUGAUACCUAAUACAGAAACAUAUUUCAGAGUUAGAGCCAAAAUAGAUUAUCAUUACCGUAAUAAAUGCAAGACUUGGAUAGUGCUGGGUUAUUAUACAUACUUCAGCAUUGCUGCAUUUAUCGCCCUUGCUCUUACUUUCAUUCAGACAGUGUUUGCAAUUCACCCGGCUAGCAAUAACGGUUGUUAGUUAUGACAAAGUUGUUUUCGUUAUGGCACUUCUAUAUGGAUUGUGUUGAAUUUUUUUAAUAAAUUUUUGGGUGAAGUUGGCGUGUACCUUCUUUAGUCUUGACUAUGUGUAUUUAUAAAAUGAAGAGUGUCUUUUUGAUUGUGCUGUGUAUAAGAAUUGAAACAUGAAUUUUCAUAUUUCAAGUUAAUUUAUUCAAAUUAUUAUUCUCAUAAACGAUCUACGUGUUUCUAUACUGUUGAGAUUUUGUUGAUUUUGUUUAGAUGAGUUAUUUAAUUUUGUGUUCAUUGACAUUUCAAUAAGUGAAUAGAUCGAAUGAGCUAAUAAAACAAGUAUAUUAAGAGUAUUAGUAGACAUGGGAACAAACAAAGUAUUGGUUACGAAACAACCUGACAACAAAAUUCAACUUAAAUCUAUUCACUAGUUAUGAAAAUGACAAACUUGAUGAAUCAUUUCUUCAUCAACUUCAGCACAAGCUUCUUCACUUAGUUUUUUCUGUCUUUUCAUCGGUCACAGAAGAAAAAUGAUUCUAUAAUUCUAGACUAACAUAUAUACCUCUCAUGGAAAAUUGUACAAAUAAUUCAUGAAUUCAAGAAUUGAUUUAUUUAUCAAAAUUAUUUAAAUUCAUGUAGAUAGUAAAACCGAUGGAAAAGGUUUCUCUUAGGAAAAGAUGAACCUGAAUCUAUUAGGUAAUUAACUAGAGUUGAUAUAGAUGUGUUAUAGUUCUUUUUCAUGAUGUUUUGUACGUUAGUCUACUAAGUGUUAUGAUAUGAUCGAAUAAGAGGAAAGCUAAAUAUUAUGAUGGAAUUUUCAACCAAUGGCAAGAAGGUGGUGGUGGUGGGUAUGUUGCUGUUGCUAUAGCAAAAACUUCGUAGGAAUUUCGAUUUCAAAAGCUGCAUCAUUCAAUUGAAACAUAAAAAAUAUUAAGAUAUGCGUCUAUAGAUUAAAUUUAAUAAAAAAAUCAUGAUUAAAGUAUAUAAGUUCUAGACUGCGUUGAGAGAAGGCGGUAGCUCUGUUAGGGUUUCUCCUUCGGGUGUAAUUUGCAGUUUUCUUGUGUGCAUCAUUCAUCUUUUUAGGUGGUAUCCAUAAACUAUCUUAAAUCUACUAAUAAAUUGCUCAUUUUCAUUGGUUAAUAAGUAAAUUACCCAUCAUUUUUUCAAAGGUAAUCUAAAAAAAACCUCAAUAAAGUGCUCUUUGUUGAAAAGGGAAUUCCAAUAGAAAGUCAAAAUUGGAAAUCACUAAUUCUUUGGUCAAAAUUAGAUGUGUGUGCUGGAAUUUCAAUUCUGGUAAUCUAGUGCUUUAAGAUAAAAAAAUGAAAUAUACUAUUGCUUUCAAUUUGCGGUUACGUGUUUACUUUACUACUCUACGAAUAGUUUCAAUUGAUUAUGAAAAUUGCAACACAUAUGCAAAGGCUUAGAAAUACGAGUAAAUUAUAUAAAUAUCCUUUACUAGUUAACUGUCGAUGGUUGCAGAACCUCUCUCAUCCAUUAUUCAUCUCAUCUUACAAAUUUUUUUUUUAAAUCUCUUUAAAAAAUCCAACCAAAUUAAUUCAACAAAAUCACAAGUAAGUAAUUAUAAUGCUAUUAACUUACAUUUUAGUUGUUAUAAAUGUUUUUAUUUUUUUGUUUUUGAGUAGAUUAACAUGUUAUAAUUCAUUUUUAGAGUAGAUGUUAUUUGAUUAAUGUUGUUAUAAUGUUUGCAAGAUGUUUAUGUUAUAAUUUAGAAUUUUAGGGUUUUUUUAUUUUAUUUUGGUGUUUUAUAUUUAUUUUUUUAUUUUAGUUUUUUAGUAUAUUUACAUGUAAGAGUAUAUGAUUUAUUUUAAGAGUAGAUAUUAGUUGAAUAAUUUUCCAAUACUUUUUGCAUUUUUAUGUUUUUUUUUAGAGUAUCGGUUUUUUUUUUUUCUUAUGAUUUUCAAGGUUUAUGUAUAAUUUGCACAUCAAGUGUUUGAUGAAAUGUUUGAAUGAGUUUUUCAUUGAUUGUUUUUUAUUUCUUAUUGUGUAGAUAUGAAACAAUGGCCGGGUGGAUCGACGUUCAUGCACAAUUCAACGGCGGAGAACCUUAGAGGUUGAAGGUUCGGUGCCUUGGUAUAACGUUAAGAGGUCUCAAGGAUGAACUGACUGAAUUCAACCAAGGAGUCAACCACCUGAGACACAAGGAGGGUGGAACACGUUCAUUAUAAACGUCCAACGCUCGACGAGGGGAGAGUAUCAUUCAGUUGGGAGGAAUUAACGAACGACGAAAAUGUGACGAGCAUGUUAUGGGAUCACAACAUGUUCCAGUGGAUCGAUAUGUGGGUAACGUUGCUGAGAUCAACUGAAGAUAUUAUCAACAGUCUGAUUCCGCCAUAAGAUCAUCAUUAGUUACCGAAUGAAUGAACCUACCAGCUACAACAAUUGUCUUCCUUUGAAUGGGUAAUUCAAACUUGCCAAACAGCAGGACUCCAAUAUUCAACCGACAUUCCCAUUGUUUCUUUCAAGAGAUUCAAUUUUUGUUAGGCCAGUUUAAAUGAAGGUAUUGAACUGUCAAAGAAUGUACCUCAUUCUUUUGACACUUGAAUACCAUAAUUUAAUCCCAACCUAACAAGAAUUUAAUCUUUUGAAUGGAACAAUGAGAAUGUCGGUCGAAUAUUUGAGUCCUGCUGCUUGGCAAGUUUGAAUUUAUCCCAUUCAGAGGUAACACAAUUGUUGUAGUUGGAAGGUACAAACGUUCGGUAUAAACGUCUAAGAGAAUACACCUUCCUACAAUAAUUGUCUUCCUUUGAAUGAGGUAAUUCAAAUUUGUAAAACGGUAGGACUUCAGCAUUCGAUCGACAUUUUAAAUGAUGGUAUUCGGUUUGUUUGAGGAAUCAGGAUAAUCGCUUGUGUCGACUCUCUCUCUUUAAACCCUAAACCCUAGGUUGAUAGGUAAAAAGAUUGGGAUAUAUGUUCUUGAAGGAAGAUAUACACCAACUUAUUUGAGUUGACGUAUAUCUUCCAAAACCUGUAUUCUCGCAAGGUCAAUUGUAUGUUGCAAUAUCAAAAGUUAUAUCAAGGAAUGGUCUGAAAAUUUUAGUACUUCGAAUGUGGUGUAUAAAGAAGUUUUCUGAAAUUUGUAAACAUGAGAAACUUCAAAUAUAAUUGUAUUUAUUAUUAUAACAUUAAAAUUAUAAGUUGGGUAAGUACUAUCUAAUUUUGCUUCUGUCUAUUGCAUUUACAAUGUAUAUGACCCAUGUUGUAUCACGGGUAGACCAUCUAGUUAGGUUUUUAAUCCCAAGGAGUUAAAAGCCAUGCAAGAAGUACCAAAAAAAAAAAAAAAGAAGCAAGAAAUAGAAGGAGAAGCUGCAUGAAACACAUAGUUAAAUUCUAGAACAGUAAAAGCAUUGAAGCAAAGAUCCUUUUUCCAUGAAUUUUACAUUUCUUGUCCAUUGAGUAAAGUGGUAGACAUUAUAUAGUUUGUCCUGAGAGAGGACAUGUAUAAAAAUCGAUUAAAGUGGAAGUGUAAUAUUUUAAGCAAGCAUAUUUACUUAUCUUGUUAAUUAGGUAAAGGUUUGUGAGCAUGGAAAUCUAGAGCACUACACUGAGCCAAUAUUAUAUAAAAGGCGUUUUGAUUUAUAUUCAUUAACCAUUAUUAUAUUGAUUGAAUGAUGGCAUCCCAAACUAUUAAAGAAAAAUUUGUGGAACUACAAAAAUCAAAGCAAACACCCCAAAAUUCACGACCAAAGAUACAAAGGGUGCCACAGUAUCUCAGAAAUAGAAACAAUUUUGAGAAACAUUACACCCCCAAGUUUGUUUCAAUAGGUCCUAUCCAUCAUGACAAUACAAAUAUGAAACCAGGAGAGGAGUAUAAGCUUAUGUGGGCAGCAAAAUACAUAGAAAACAACGGCUUUAUUCUAGAGGAUCGACACAAAAAGAUUGCCGAUAAAAUUAACGAACUAAAGGGUCAUUUUAGCGACGAUGUUUUAACUUUAACUGGCAAGUCUCUUGAAGGCUUUGAUAGCCUUGAAGAAAAGUUGUCGUGGAUGUUGUUCGUGGAUGGAUGUUCGUUGCUGCAUAUCUUGGAGAAAGCCAACGUUGAUGAAGCAGGGCACAUGAAUAUUAAGGUUGAUCAACUGAUGAUGGAUGUGCUUUUGUUGGAAAAUCAACUUCCUUAUCAAGUACUCAAGCUUUUGUGGAAAGACGACAACGAGAGUGAGCAUGAGGAAAUUCCUCAGCCGUUGUUAUUGGGACAAACCAGAUGGGUCACAGUCAGAGAAGGAGAAGGAAGGAGAAGGAGAACAUAGUGUAUCAAUACCAGACGAGUUGCAAUCAGAGAUGGAGGAGGAAGGAGAAGGAGAACAUAGUGUAUCAAUACCAGACGAGUUGCAAUCAGAGAUGGAGGAGGAAGGAGAAGGAGAACAUAGUGUAUCGAUACCUUAACCAAAUGAGUCACAGUCAAAGACACCCACUCAUCUUCUUGAUCUUCUGCAUAAAAUCAUCCUAACUACAUCUAAUUCCAAGGUACAAUAUAGAAAUAACAGUAACAAGUACUAGAAGAAUUGAAAUAACAAUCAAAAUUACAGACAAAACUAUUUGGUUACUAAAUUUUUGUCUUUGAAACUUAGACAAAAUUAGAGAGUUUGCCUUUUUCCGUUUCUAAUUUUUGUCACCAUUUCAACUCUUUGUAUUAGUUUUGAGUCUAUCUAGCAUUUUGAAUUUAUUUUGUCAUCAUAUAAGUACGAUGGAUCAUUCUAUUUCUGAUUAAAACAUAAGACUAAAAGCAAUGAAGCUAACAACAAGAAAUGGAGUCAUACGAAGAAUUUAGAGGCCAACAUGAUGACAUAUAGGAACAUACAAGAUCUAAAAGCAGCAGGAGUAAGAUUUAAGUCAAGCUUCACACGUAGGCCAAAAGACAUUAAUUUCUACGAAGGAUGGCUUACCGCAAAACUAAUUCUUCCUGAGAUCGUUGUGGACGACACUUCAGCCACUACUUUCCUCAACUUGAUAGCAUAUGAGAUGUGUCCUGAUUUUGAGAACGACUAUGGAAUUUGUUCUUUUGCAGCUUUCAUUGACUCACUUAUUGAAGAUCCUGAAGAUGUGAAGGUACUAAGAUCAAAAGGGAUUUUGCUCAAUUCCCUUGGGAGUGAUGAGGAACUCGUCAAUUUUUUCAAAAUCAUAAGUACUGACGUGGUUCCUAACAGAGAAAUAUAUUAUGAAGUUAGACGCAAAAUAAAUGAGCAUUACAGCAACAGCUACAAGACUUGGAUAGCGAUGAGUUUUCACACUUACUUCAGCAUUGCUGCGGUUAUCGCCCUUGCUCUUACUUUCAUUCAGACAUGGUUUACGGUUUACCCGCCUAACAAAUAAAGGUGCUCCGUUAUGAUAAUAUUGUUUUUGCUACGGUACUCUUCACUUCACUGGAUUGUGUUCAGUUUUUCAAAUAAAUUUUUUGGUUAAGUUGGUGUGUACCUUCUUGAAAUGAUUUAUGUGAUUCUAUAUUGUUUUCGCUAUGAGUAUUUUAAAAAUGAAUAGUGCCUUAUUCAAAUUAAUAAUCUCAUUAAUGAUUUAUGUGAUUCUAUAUUGUUGUGAUUAUGUUAAUUUUGUUUAGAUCAAUUAUUUAAUAUUGUGUUCAUCGACGUUACAAUAAUUAUAUCGCAGGUUAUUCAUGGGGCAAAACACAAAGUAUUCGUUACAAAACACAAUAUAUACUCCCUCCGUUCUAAUUUAUAAGCAAAAAACACUAAUUCACACUUAUUAAGAAAACUAAUACUUAGUGACUUGAGAUAUCAUUUUUUGUGUUCUCCUUGGAAUAAGUUUCAUGGAAAGAUGUAAAAAUAAUUCUCAUUGGUUAAAAAUUAUGGAGAAAAUGAAAAGGAGAACAAAUUGAAUGUAAUUUGCAUUUAAUUUUACAUUGGAAAAGGUGAUUUGUUUGAAAAAACAUAAUAAUAGCAUAAAAGUUGGUCCUUUUUGUUUAUAUUUUGAGACAAAGAUUAUGAGAUUUUUUUGCUUAUAUUUUAGGACGGAGGGAGUAUUUAUGAUAAUGUCAGACAUGAUGAAUCAUUUCUUCAACUUCAGCACAAGCUUCGAUUAGUUUUUUUUCUUUUCAUCGGCCAUAGAAGAAAAAUGAUUAUAUAUUCUAGACUCAUAUAUACUUCUCAUGCAAAAUAUUGUAGAAAAAUUCAGUUAGCUUGUGGCGCAAGUCAGUGUAGUGUGUUCCUUCUCCUUAUCUUUGAUCAUUUGUGUUUCCAUAUCUUUUGUGUUAUUCUUCAAUAGUACAAAAAAGGUAGCAAUAUAUAGAUCACAAAUGAUCCAAUAUCUCUACCAAAAAUUCAUCUGAACACAUAAUAAAGAAAGAUGUGGUCAUGACAACAUUGGUAUCCUCAGGUAUACACAAAGACAUUAACUAAAACUUCAUUAACUUUGUACUCAAAAAAAAAAAAACUUGAUUAGCUAACACUUCAUUCCCAUAUCUUCACCACAAAAUCAUUGUUAGACCAUCCCCAAUGGUUUUUACCAUUCAACACCACUUUUUCAAUUUCCAACACUCCACAUCAUUUUCUCUCUCUUAUUCAACACUCAUUCAACAUUUACCCUCUCCAAUGGUUUUUCAUUCAACACUCUACCCCACCAUUUUUUAUUUUUUAUUCUUAUUUAAUUUUUGUUUUUAUAAUUACAUAAAAUUAUCGAUUAUAAUUAAAUUAAAAUAAUACAAUUAACUAUUUAUUUUUUAGUAUUUUUGGAAGAAAAAANNNNNNNNNNNNNNNNNNNNNNNNNNNNNNNNNNNNNNNNNNNNNNNNNNNNNNNNNNNNNNNNNNNNNNNNNNNNNNNNNNNNNNNNNNNNNNNNNNNNNNNNNNNNNNNNNNNNNNNNNNNNNNNNNNNNNNNNNNNNNNNNNNNNNNNNNNNNNNNNNNNNNNNNNNNNNNNNNNNNNNNNNNNNNNNNNNNNNNNNNNNNNNNNNNNNNNNNNNNNNNNNNNNNNNNNNNNNNNNNNNNNNNNNNNNNNNNNNNNNNNNNNNNNNNNNNNNNNNNNNNNNNNNNNNNNNNNNNNNNNNNNNNNNNNNNNNNNNNNNNNNNNNNNNNNNNNNNNNNNNNNNNNNNNNNNNNNNNNNNNNNNNNNNNNNNNNNNNNNNNNNNNNNNNNNNNNNNNNNNNNNNNNNNNNNNNNNNNNNNNNNNNNNNNNNNNNNNNNNNNNNNNNNNNNNNNNNNNNNNNNNNNNNNNNNNNNNNNNNNNNNNNNNNNNNNNNNNNNNNNNNNNNNNNNNNNNNNNNNNNNNNNNNNNNNNNNNNNNNNNNNNNNNNNNNNNNNNNNNNNNNNNNNNNNNNNNNNNNNNNNNNNNNNNNNNNNNNNNNNNNNNNNNNNNNNNNNNNNNNNNNNNNNNNNNNNNNNNNNNNNNNNNNNNNNNNNNNNNNNNNNNNNNNNNNNNNNNNNNNNNNNNNNNNNNNNNNNNNNNNNNNNNNNNNNNNNNNNNNNNNNNNNNNNNNNNNNNNNNNNNNNNNNNNNNNNNNNNNNNNNNNNNNNNNNNNNNNNNNNNNNNNNNNNNNNNNNNNNNNNNNNNNNNNNNNNNNNNNNNNNNNNNNNNNNNNNNNNNNNNNNNNNNNNNNNNNNNNNNNNNNNNNNNNNNNNNNNNNNNNNNNNNNNNNNNNNNNNNNNNNNNNNNNNNNNNNNNNNNNNNNNNNNNNNNNNNNNNNNNNNNNNNNNNNNNNNNNNNNNNNNNNNNNNNNNNNNNNNNNNNNNNNNNNNNNNNNNNNNNNNNNNNNNNNNNNNNNNNNNNNNNNNNNNNNNNNNNNNNNNNNNNNNNNNNNNNNNNNNNNNNNNNNNNNNNNNNNNNNNNNNNNNNNNNNNNNNNNNNNNNNNNNNNNNNNNNNNNNNNNNNNNNNNNNNNNNNNNNNNNNNNNNNNNNNNNNNNNNNNNNNNNNNNNNNNNNNNNNNNNNNNNNNNNNNNNNNNNNNNNNNNNNNNNNNNNNNNNNNNNNNNNNNNNNNNNNNNNNNNNNNNNNNNNNNNNNNNNNNNNNNNNNNNNNNNNNNNNNNNNNNNNNNNNNNNNNNNNNNNNNNNNNNNNNNNNNNNNNNNNNNNNNNNNNNNNNNNNNNNNNNNNNNNNNNNNNNNNNNNNNNNNNNNNNNNNNNNNNNNNNNNNNNNNNNNNNNNNNNNNNNNNNNNNNNNNNNNNNNNNNNNNNNNNNNNNNNNNNNNNNNNNNNNNNNNNNNCUAUUUUUAGGUACAUAAUAUAACAUUAACAUAUAAUUUUUACAAAAGAAUGAAGUAACAUUUUGUAAAAAAAAAAAAAAAAAUGAAGUAACAUACCAAUAAUAUAACAUUGACAUAUAAUUUUAACAAAAGAAUGAAGUAACACACGAUUGAUAAAAAUUAAUAUUUUUAAGGUGAAUAAGUGUGGUGUCUGAGGUUCGAAUUCCAACAUCUGCAUAUAUUUGGGACCACAUAUUUUAUUCUCUUUGAUAUGCAUUGAGAUUUGUUUUUGUCUACUUCAUCUACAGUGUAUAUGACCCGUGUGGUAGCACGGGUGGAAAGUCUAGUAUAUUAAAAUGUAGCCCGUGGAAAAACGUUAAUUAGGAGUACUCAAGCUAUUGUGGAAAGAUGACAACAAGAGUGAAUUGAUAAAAAGCAUGAGGAGUUUUCGCAACCAUCUACACAUCAUACCAGAUGUGUCACAGUCAGCGAAGGAGAAGAAAGGAGAUGGAGAACAUAGUGCAUCAAUAGCAGAUGAGUCACAAUCAGAGACAAUACCCACUCAUCUUCUUGAUCUUCAACGGAAACUCAUCCUCACUACAUCUUAUUCCAAGGUACAAUAGAAUUAACAAUAAAAAGUACUAAAAUAAAUAGAAAUAAAGAAAGAAAUUAGAGACAAAAAUAUUUGGUUACAAAUUUAAGGACAAAAUUAGAAACGGAGUUUGCCUUUUUCUGUUUCUAAAUAUUAUUUCCUUUGCAAAGGAAGUAUAAUUUUGAAUUUUUUUUAGGGUUAAAUAAGUAAAUGGUCCUCCUAAAUAUAUCAACAUUUAACUUUAGCUCCCUUAAAAUAUUCUUUAGACUUUUGGUUCUUCAAAAAAUUUUCAUUUAUGAAAUUAGUCUCUGCUCUACAUUGAGUAUUACAUUAGAACGGGCACUAAUUUCAUAUAGAUUAAAAAUUUUAGAGGGAUCAAAAGCGUAAGGAAUAUUUUAAGGGGGCUAAUAUCAAAUGUUAGUAUAUUUAGGGAGACUAUUUACUUAUUUAACUCCUUCUAUUAUCAUAAGUAAAUGAUCCAAUCCAUUUUUUAUUAAAACAUAGACUAAAAUCGUUGAAGCUACCGAAAUGAUGAAAUGGAGUCUUAAUAUUCUUAAAAGAAUGAAGAUAUGGAGUGGGAAGCUUAAUGAUAAAAUAAAGAAAUGUAUUGGGAAGAAUUCAAAGACAAAUAUCCAAAUGUUGACAUACAGGAACAUACAAGAUCUAAAAGCAGUAGGAAUAAGACUUAAGUCAAGCAUGACACAAAGGCUAAGAGACAUAGAUUUCUGCGGAGGAUGGUUCUCUGCAGAACUGACUCUUCCUAUGAUCAUUGUGUCCAACAGUUCAGCCCAUACGUUCCGCAACCUGAUAGCAUAUGAGAUGUGUCCAGAUUUUGAGAACGAUUAUGGAAUUUGUUCUUUUGUAACUUUCAUGGACUCGCUCAUCGACCAUCCUGAAGACGUGAAGGAAUUGAGAUCAAAAGGGAUUUUGGCCAAAUGCCUUGGCAGUGAUGAGGAUGUUGCCAAUCUUUUCAAUAUCAUAUGUACUGACUUGGUAGCUGACCCGGAAAUAUACUUUGAAGUUAGAUUGAAAAUACAUGAUCAUUACUGUAAUAAAUACAAUACUUGGAUAGCGCAGGGUUUUCAUACUUACUUCAGCAGUCCUUGGGCCAUUAUUGCAUUCACUGCUGCGGUUAUCGCCCUUGUUCUUACUUUCAUUCAGACAUGGUUUACAAUUCAACCGGCUAGCAAAUAAAUGUGAUUCGUUAUGACAAUGUUGUUUUCGUUAUGGAACACAUCACUUCUCUGUGGAUUUUUAAUAGGUUGAGUUUUUUUAUUGAAUAAAUUUUAGGUUAUGUUUUCGUCUACGUCUUGACUAUGAGUACGUAUUUCAAAAAUAAAGAUUGCCAUUUUCUUUGUGUUGUGUGUUUGAAUUGUAACAUGAAUAAAUUAAUAUUCUCAUUGAUGAUCUACGUGUUACUAUAUAUUGGUGCCAUUAUGUUGAUUUUGAUUAGAUGAGUUUUUAAUUUUGUAUUCAUAGACAUCGAAAUAAGUGAAUAGACCAAAUGAGUUAAUAAGACAAGUAUAUAUUAUAGGAAAAUUUGUCAUCUUAGUCCCUGAAUUUGUAAGGAUUUGUCAGAAUAAUCUUUGAAUGCAAAGAAAUUGCAAAACAAUACUUGAAUGUAAACUCUGUUAGUCAAUUUAGUCUCUGGCGUUAAAUAAGUAUGUUAACGAUGACAUGGCCUCUGAUGUGGCAAGAUGGCAACUGAUAGAAAAUUAACAAGUGUACUUAUUUAAAUCGAGUGAUAAAAUAAUUCGUUUCGACAAGGACCAUAUUAAUCUCUACAUAGCGAGAACAUUAACAUCAAGAUAUAUCUAAAUGGGGGUUGCCUUAGGCAAAUUGUUUGAGUGCAAUUGUAAUUAAACGAAAAACUGGAAUUCAAGUUGGUUUAGAAAUAAUAUGGAGAAAUGACUAGGUCAUUCGAUUCAUUUGUUCAUCACUCGUUAGCAAUCUGUUUCUUAAGUUUACGAACGCUGUAAAUUUUACGACAAAUUAACAAAAUAGCUUAGGUCAAUCCCGUGAUCGAAAGCUCUCUUUUUUGGCUAUAAGUCCCUAAUCACUUGGUGAACCUAUAAUAGUAAAAGGUUUGAAGUCCGUUAAUUUAAGUAUCACAACCUAACAACUCUCUAUCCCUAGAUUGUAUGUUAGAUUUGAACAAUAUAAAUAUGUCAGAGUUACACGUUAGUGUCAAUAGUCAUAUACACUCUAGAAUCAGUUAUGUUGAGUCAGAAUCAUAAAAGCAUUAAGAAUAAUUUAUACUGAAUAAACUAGAAUGACAAUCUUAAAAAUUAAGAGUUACAAGUUACAUUGUACUAAGCUAGAACAGAAUCAUCUCUUGACCUAAUCACAAAGGAUUUAGCUACUCGUGGCUAAAGCACGAAUAACUAAUGUAAAGGAAAUAUUCAUUACAUGAAUUUGACAACCGGCUAUGAGUUUUGAUGGCCUCCCACCUUCUUCUCAGAUCUCCAGCUCCAAAAAACAGUUUCUGUAACACCCCGUUUUCCCAACAUAUAAAUAAUAUAAAAUAAAUCAGAGUUCAUCGCAAAUAGGAUGUCACAUUUCGUUCUUCAAAAUAUCUUUUAACACAAAUAGAGUUAAAUUCACUAUUUAUUUAAACAACUGCUUUCAAUAAUUCAAAAUAAUGUCGUAGCGAAAAUAUUUAAUCUUUAAGCAUUACUUGGCACUAAGGCCUCAACAUCAACAACAUAAAUAAAAUCCACCUAAAAGUGGUCCAACAUCAAAUUAUAAGAAGAUAUGUAACAAUGGAAAAUAAAACACAUAAGAAUCCUCAUGCCGUUACGUAUCAGAGCAUGACUUCUAUGACGAAACGAGAAUUCAACUCACAUCAGCUGUUACUUCUGAAUAUCUGCAUGUUACCCACGUAGAGGUGACAUUCAAACAGAAGGGGUGAGAUUUCACAUUUGAUAAUAAUAAGCAAUAAUUCAUGUAAAAGAAUUUAACAACACAAAACAGCAGCAAUUCAUCAUUAACAAUGCUUCACAUAAGUCGAACUACAAAUCAUCAAUUAACUUCACUCAACAGUACAACGACACGACUUAACAAAUGCAAUGCAAUGCAAUUAUGCAUGUGGUACCAACAGAGCUACAACUCCCUUCGCUAAUGCCGUGAUUCGGCUUUGACAGGCUACAACCUCCUUUGCUUAAUAAAUCACCAAUACAGGCCAUCGUGGUGCCAAUCCAGGCCAUCAUAAUUAAAAUGAAAUGAUUAUGUAAUGACACAAUUAAAAUGCAACAACAGCAACAUCUACUUCGCAUCACAAUUUCACUAUUAAUCAAUAUUAUUCUUCGCAAAUAAACAAUAAUUUCAUUCAAACAAUUAUAAUUACGAAACUCAAGCAUGCAUACCUUAAUUGAACCCCUUAAUACUCAAGUUUGAAGUUUAGAAACCAAACCAUAGGUAUUGGAAUGACUUGGAAAUAAUUAUGCUAAGAUUCUUUAAAAUUUCCCCAAGACCUACUUGAAGUGUUUUCAUCAUAACUCAAAAUCCACAAAACAUUUUCAUGUCAAACCAACGCCAUUGGAAAGAUAACAUAAUUAUUUGAAACCUUCAUGUUUACACCAAAGGCCAAUUCAAAUCAGAAUAAGGGUGAAAAAGCACGAAAAAUCAAAAACCGAAGUCCUGACAGCACGCAAACGAUGCCACAACAAAACAGUCACCCAUGAGGGCUGUCUUUCUGCGCCUAGGCGCUGGCAAGCUGCACCCAGGCGUGGGCAGGCAGUAGCCAGUGACCUGCGGUGCAGCUCUGUGCAGUCCUGGUUUUUUCCCGGUUUUACCAUUUCGCACGUAAAAACUCAACAGUUAACCCGAUUCCAAUUCUGUUUUCGCCUACGCAUUCUAUUCAAUAAAUCCUAUCAUAUUUUACUGAUAAAUCAUAUUUUCAAAUCUUCAAAACAGCUUAUCCCAGAAUCACUUAUUUCCCAAAAACACUUAAAAUCACUUUUAUUCAAAAUAUCAAUUUUUGACCCCAUUCGAUCCCAAUUUGAUAGGAAACAUUACCUAGGGUUACUCUACAACCUAAACAUCAACUUUCACAUUAAUUCAUUGGAUUACUUACACUUUCAAGAAUCAAAUUGCAAUUCAAAACCCUAACUUCUUAAACAUCACAAUUAUCAACAACAUCAAAGUUAGCCCCUUUUUCAGAAUUAUAUAACUCAUAUUAAAGAAGGUUAGUCCCACCCUUACCUUAGACUAGAUGAACUUUGAAUUCUUUAAGCUUUCCCUUGCCCUCUCACAAUGCUCUUCUCUUCUCUGACUUCUCACUUUCACGUUUCCACCAAAAACUGUUUUACAUGUCUGACUCUUCUUUUCCUAACCUCUCCUUAUUCCUAACCUAACACAUUCCCUCUUAUUCCAAUUUUGCCCUUACUGCCUCAUUAUUCUAUUUUAAUUUUAUUCCUUCACUAAUAAUACUAUAAUAAGCUACUAACAUUCACUAACACAUAACACAAAACAUCGCGCAUCACCAUUAUUCACAUAAAUUAUUCAAAAUGACACUAAACUCGAUAAAAUAACUAAAUAAUAAAUUAGGGUGUUACAACUCUCCCCAACUUAGAAUAUUUUCGUCCUCGAAAAUGUACCUCAUUCAAAUAACUUUGGAUACGACUCCAGCAUCUUGCUCUCCAACUCCCACGUCAAACUUUCACCAGCCACUUCUCCCCAAACAACUUUCACAAGAGGCAUCUCCUUGCCUCUCAGCUUCUUCACUUCACGACCUUCAAUCCUCCCUAGUAAGGUCUCGAUCGUAAGAUUGUCUCUCACUUGCACAUCAUCUCUUGGAAUCACAUGAGAUGGAUAUGAAACAUACUUUUGUAGUUGUGACACAUGAAACACAUCAUGUAAGUUCGAAAGAUGCGGUGGUAAACCCACGUUAUACGCAACCGCCCCAACUCUUUGCGAAAUCUGAUACGGGCCAAUAAACCUCGGAGUUAGUUUCUUUGAUUUUAGUGCCCGUCCAACACCGGUAAGAGGGGUGACUCUCAAAAACACAUGGUCUCCUUGAAACUCAAGAUCCUUCCUACGCUUAUCAUGAUAACUCUUUUGUCUACUCUGUGACGCUUUCAUCUUUUCUCUAAUCAACUUAACAUUUUCAUUAGUCUGUUGAACAAUGUCUGGUCCCAGUACCACACUCUCACCGGACUCAUCACAACACAACGGAGUUCUGCAUCUCCGACCAUACAACGCUUCGAACGGUGCCAUUCCAAUGCUAGAAUGGUAACUAUUAUUGUAAGUGAACUCGAUUAAUGGAAGAUGACUAUCCCAAGAUCCCCCUUGCUCAAGUACACAAACUCUCAACAAGUCCUCCAACGACUGAAUUGUCCUCUCCGUCUAUCCAUCUGUCUGCGGAUGAUACGCCUAACUCAAACUCAACUUAGAACCCAACGCCUCCUACAAACUCUUCCAAAAUCUAGAAGUAAAUCUUGGAUCCCUAUCUAAUACAAUACUCGAUGGAACACCAUGUAACUUCACAAUCUCACGGAUAUAAAUCUUUUCCAACUGAGAUACAGGAAAAUUGAUGUUAAUCGGAAUAAAAUGAGCCGACUUCGUCAGUCUAUCCACAAUUACCCAAAUCGCAUCAUGUCCUUUUGGAGUAUUCGGCAAACUCGUCACAAAAUCCAUGGAUAUACUAUCCCACGUCCACUCUGGAACAUCUAAAGGUGUCAACAACCCAACAGGUUUCUGAUGUUCAACUUUCGACUUUUGACAAAUUAAACACGCAUACACAAAUUGUGCCACAUCUCGCUUCAACCCGGACCACCAAAACAACUUCUUCAAAUCAUGAUAUAUUUUUGUAGCUCCCGGAUGAAUACUCAAAUUAUUUCUGUGACCUCCCUUCGGAACCAAAUGAGGUACUUCAAAGUAACCUCCCUGUUGAAAUUUCGUCUAAAACGACGAAGACUCUCGGCUUUAAAAAAUACGAAUAAAAUGGGUAAAAACAGAUAAAAGUGAUCAAAAUUUGGGGUAUGACAGGCAGCAUCUAGACGCUCAUUUAUGCAACUUUUGUGGCUCUUAUGUGUGUGGGUGUUAUGGACUGAACGUAAUAAUAGACAGUUUAAUAACACCAAAAUUUCUAUUCAUCAGAUAUUCGAAAAGGUUCAAAUUCAUUCUUAUUGGUGGAUGAAUGCAGCAAAUGCAACUUUUGUAUUAGGGGUUCAUAACUGACUAGCUUGCCCUAUUCUUUGUUUGGGUAUAGGUUAGCUGACCCUUUUCUUUUUUCUUUCAUUUUGACCGAACACUUUGUGUAAUAAUGGUCGCUCUCUUUUAGCACAUCUUGUGCGGAAGUAGCGACAUUUGAUUGUUAAUAUAAGUCUCAUUCUUGCUUGUUAAAAAAAAAUUAACAAUUAUUUCUCAGUUUUUAUCAUCAACAUCAUUUCUUACAUUACCCCUAAAAAAAUCAUUUCUUACAUUAAUUUUAUCUUAUUUUUCAAUUCAAAUAACAUUGCAAAUGCAAUUUUUUACGCAUAACACUCGCUUGGAUGCAUAACCCUGUGCAGAGCAUGGACCCGUUAGGACUUAAAAGCCAAGCAAGAAAUAAAAGGAGAAGCCGCAUGGUGCACAUAGUUAAAUUCUAGAACAGUAAAAGCAAUGAUCCUAUUUCCAUGAAUUUUACUUUUCUUGUCCAUUGAGCAAAGUGAUGGAGAUAUAGUUAAAUUCUAGAUUAGUGAUGUCCAGUUCGUUACGAGGACAAGUUACUUUUUUUAGUAGUGAAGAUUAGUGAUAAAACUAGAUUAAAGUGAAGGUGUAAGAUUUUUUUUAAGCAAGCAUAUUUACUUAUCUUGUUCAUUAGGUAAAGGUUUGAGAGAAAAAAAAUCCAAAGCAGUACAGUGAGCCCAUAUUAUAUAAUAUUAUAUAAUACACGUUUUGAUUUAAAUUCCUCAACCAUUAUUAUAUUGAAAGAAUGAUGGCAUCCCAAACUACCCUUGAAAAAAAAAUUGUGGAGCUAGAAAAUUCAAAGCAAAUACCCCAAAGUUCACGACCAAAGAUACAAAGGGUGCCACACAAUCUCAGAAACAGAAAAAACUUUGAGAAGUAUUACUCACCCAAGUUCCUGUCAAUAGGUCCUAUCCAUCAUGGCAAUACAGAUCUGAAGUUAGGAGGGAAGUACAAGCUUAUGUGGGCAGCAAAAUACAUUGAAAAUACAAGACUCAAUCCACGGGAUCUACACAAAAAGAUUUUUGAUAACAUCGAUGAACUGAAGGGUCAUUUUGACGAUGAUGUAAUUUUAACUUUAACCGGCAAGUCUCUUGAAGGCUUUGGAAGCCUUGAAGAAAAGCUGUCGUGGAUAUUGUUCGUGGAUGGAUGCUCUUUGCUUUAUAUCUUGGAUGGAUGUUGUACGUGGAUGGAUGACCCAGAGCCUAUGGAUAUUAAGGUUGAUCAACUGGUUCUUGUGAUGAUGGAUGUGCUUUUGUUGGAGAAUCAACUACCUUAUCAAGUACUCAAGCUAUUGUGGAAAGAUGAAGACAAGAGUGGAUUGAUAGAAAGCAUCAUGAAUUUCUUCAAAUAUAUUUUGGCAAGACCAGGUGAGUCGCAGUCAGAGAAGGAGAUACACGUGGUUCUAAACGGAGGAGAAC
rnacentral:lncRNA from 1 species